rnacentral:rRNA from 1 species
UACGUAGGGUGCGAGCGUUAAUCGGAAUUACUGGGCGUAAAGCGUGCGCAGGCGGUUUGUUAAGACAGAUGUGAAAUCCCCGGGCUUAACCUGGGAACUGCAUUUGUGACUGGCAAGCUAGAGUAUGGCAGAGGGGGUAGAAUUCCACGUGUAGCAGUGAAAUGCGUAGAGAUGUGGAGGAAUACCGAUGGCGAAGGCAGCCCCCUGGGCCAAUACUGACGCUCAUGCACGAAAGCGUGGGGAGCAACAGG